GACGAACGCUGGCGGCGUGCUUAACACAUGCGAGUCGAACGGAAAGGCCUUUUCGGAGGUACUCGAGUGGCGAACGGGUGAGUAACACGUGGGGGAUCUGCCCUGCACGCUGGGAUAAGCCGGGGAAACUGGGUCUAAUACCGGAUAGGACCGCACUUUAGGGUGUGUGGUGGAAAGUUUUUUCGGUGUAGGAUGAGCCCGCGGCCUAUCAGCUUGUUGGUGGGGUAAUGGCCUACCAAGGCGGCGACGGGUAGCCGGACUGAGAGGUUGGUCGGCCACAUUGGGACUGAGAUACGGCCCAGACUCCUACGCGAGGCAGCAGUGGGGAAUAAUGCACAAUGGGCGCAAGCCUGAUGCAGCGACGCCGCGGGGGGGAUGACGGCCUUCGGGUUGUAAACUCCUUUCGCCAGGGACGAAGCGUUUUGUGACGGUACCUGGAGAAGAAGCCCCGGCUAACUACGUG
rnacentral:rRNA from 1 species